GACGAACCACACGAACGUUAUUCGGAAUUACUGGGCUUAAAGCGCGUGUAGGCGGGCCGGCGCGUCGGCCGCUGAAAGCCCCCGGCUCAACCGGGGAAGCGGCGCCGAUACGGCCGGCCUGGAGGGGGGUAGGGGGACCUGGAACUUCCGGUGGAGCGGUGAAAUGCGUUGAGAUCGGAAGGAACGCCCGUGGCGAAAGCGAGGUCCUGGACCCUUUCUGACGCUGAGACGCGAAAGCUAGGGGAGCAAACAGG
rnacentral:rRNA from 1 species